AUGAAUCAAGGUGUUAAAGGACUUAGCGGUAGUUCUGCCUGUCGCUGGUACAUCGAUGAGGAUUUGCCUGUUAUAAAUGACUUCCGCAACAGGCUUGGAACUAAUUUUACACCUAUUGAUGUCAAUGCUGCUAUUGAUGGAGGGUCGCUUCCUGCUCGUAUCUAUGAUGCUCCGGUCGAAAUGACUGUGUCAGAACUCCUUAAGCUCGACCCUUAUGAGAGCGGGCUAUGUUUAUUCUCUUCUCAUGCUUUCCAGAUGUUCCUUUUUACUUUUGUUGUUUAUGUACCCAAUACUGAAUGA
rnacentral:rRNA from 1 species